GAUGAACGCUAGCGCUAGGCUUAACACAUGCCAGUCGAGGGGCAGCAUGGUCUUAGCUUGCUAAGGCUGAUGGCGACCGGCGCACGGGUGCGUAACGCGUAUGCAACUUGCCUCACAGAGGGGGAUAACCCGUCGAAAGACGGACUAAUACCGCGUACACUCUAUGUUGGGCAUCCAAUGUAGAGGAAAUGAAAUUCGCUGUGAGAUAGGCAUGCGUCCCAUUAGCUAGUUGGUGAGGUAACGGCUCACCAAGGCGACGAUGGGUAGGGGAACUGAGAGGUUGAACCCCCACACUGGUACUGAGACACGGACCAGACUCCUACGGGAGGCAGCAGUGAGGAAUAUUGGUCAAGGGGCGAGAGCCUGAACCAGCCAAGUCGCGUGAAGGAUGACUGUCUUAUGGAUUGUAAACUUCUUUUAUACGGGAAUAACAAGAGUCACGUGUGGCUCCCUGCAUGUACCGUAUGAAUAAGCAUCGGCUAACUCCGUG
rnacentral:rRNA from 1 species